GGUGAAAAGCACCCCGGAAGGGGAGUGAAAUAGAACCUGAAACCGUGUGCUUACAAGUAGUCAGAGCCCGUUAAUGGGUGAUGGCGUGCCUUUUGUAGAAUGAACCGGCGAGUUACGAUUUGAUGCAAGGUUAAGCAGUAAAUGUGGAGCCGUAGCGAAAGCGAGUCUGAAUAGGGCGUUUAGUAUUUGGUCGUAGACCCGAAACCAGGUGAUCUACCCUUGGUCAGGUUGAAGUUCAGGUAACACUGAAUGGAGGACCGAACCGACUUACGUUGAAAAGUGAGCGGAUGAACUGAGGGUAGCGGAGAAAUUCCAAUCGAACCUGGAGAUAGCUGGUUCUCUCCGAAAUAGCUUUAGGGCUAGCCUCAAGUGAUGAUUAUUGGAGGUAGAGCACUGUUUGGACGAGGGGCCCCUCUCGGGUUACCGAAUUCAGACAAACUCCGAAUGCCAAUUAAUUUAACUUGGGAGUCAGAACAUGGGUGAUAAGGUCCGUGUUCGAAAGGGAAACAGCCCAGACCACCAGCUAAGGUCCCAAAAUAUAUGUUAAGUGGAAAAGGAUGUGGCGUUGCCCAGACAACUAGGAUGUUGGCUUAGAAGCAGCCAUCAUUUAAAGAGUGCGUAAUAGCUCACUAGUCGAG
rnacentral:rRNA from 1 species